AUACGGAGGAUGCGAGCGGUAUCCGGAUUUAUUGGGGUUAAAGGGAGGGUAAGCGGGAGGUUAAAUCAGCGGGUAAAUGGGGCGGCUGAACCGGUCGCUGCAGUUGAAACUGGGUUUCUUGAGAGUGCAAGAGGCGGAUGGAGUUCAUGGUGGUGCGGGGAAAUGGUUAGAUAUCAUGAAGAACUCCGAUUGCGAAGGCAGUCCGCUGGGGCACGUCUGACGCUGAUGCUCGAAGGUGCGGGAAUCAAACAGGAUUAGAUACCCUGGUAGUCCGCACGGUAAACGAUGAUUACCCGCUGUCGGCGGUAGACAGUCGGCGGCCAAGCGAAAGCGAUAAGUAAUCCACCUGGGGAGUACGCCGGCAACGGUGAAACUCAAAUGAAUUGACGGGG
rnacentral:rRNA from 1 species